rnacentral:rRNA from 1 species
AGAUUGAACGCUGGCGGCAGGCCUAACACAUGCAAGUCGAGCGGUAGAGAGGUGCUUGCACCUCUUGAGAGCGGCGGACGGGUGAGUAAUGCCUAGGAAUCUGCCUAGUGGUGGGGGAUAACGUUCGGAAACGGACGCUAAUACCGCAUACGUCCUACGGGAGAAAGCGGGGGACCUUCGGGCCUCGCGCCAUUAGAUGAGCCUAGGUCGGAUUAGCUAGUUGGUGAGGUAAUGGCUCACCAAGGCGACGAUCCGUAACUGGUCUGAGAGGAUGAUCAGUCACACUGGAACUGAGACACGGCCCAGACUCCUACGGGAGGCGGCAGUGGGGAAUAUUGGACAAUGGGCGAAAGCCUGAUCCAGCCAUGCCGCGUGUGUGAAGAAGGUCUUCGGAUUGUAAAGCAACUUUAAGUUGGAGGAAGGGUUGUAACUUAAUACGUUGCAACUUUGACGUUACGACAGAAUAAGCACCGGCUAACUUCGUGCCAGCAGCCGCGUAA